rnacentral:rRNA from 1 species
CAGCAGCCACGGUAAAACGGAGGGUGCAAGCGUUAUCCGGAUUUAUUGGGUUUAAAGGGUCCGUAGGCGGAUCUGUAAGUCAGUGGUGAAAUCUCACAGCUUAACUGUGAAACUGCCAUUGAUACUGCAGGUCUUGAGUAAAUUUGAAGUGGCUGGAAUAAGUAGUGUAGCGGUGAAAUGCAUAGAUAUUACUUAGAACACCAAUUGCGAAGGCAGGUCACUAAGAUUUAACUGACGCUGAUGGACGAAAGCGUGGGGAGCGAACAGGAUUAGAUACCCCAGUAGUCCCUGUCUCUUAUAC